GAAAGAUUCAUCGGAAGAGGAUGGGCAUGCGGCGCAUUAGCUGGACGGCGGGGUAACGGCCCACCGUGGCGACGAUGCGUAGGGGUUCUGAGAGGAAGGUCCCCCACACUGGUACUGAGACACGGACCAGACUCCUACGGGAGGCAGCAGUGAGGAAUAUUGGUCAAUGGGAGAGAUCCUGAACCAGCCAAGCCGCGUGAGGGAAGACGGCCCUAUGGGUUGUAAACCUCUUUUGUCGGAGAACAAAACCCGGGACGAGUCCCGGACUGCGUGUAUCCGAAGAAAAAGCAUCGGCUAACUCCGUGCCAGCAGCCGCGGUAAUACGGAGGAUGCGAGCGUUAUCCGGAUUUAUUGGGUUUAAAGGGUGCGUAGGCGGUCUGUUAAGUCAGCGGUAAAAUUGCGGGGCUCAACCCCGUCGAGCCGUUGAAACUGGCAGACUUGAGUUGGCGAGAAGUACGCGGAAUGCGCGGUGUAGCGGUGAAAUGCAUAGAUAUCGCGCAGAACUCCGAUUGCGAAGGCAGCGUACCGGCGCCAGACUGACGCUGAGGCACGAAAGCGUGGGGAUCGAACAGGAUUAGAUACCCUGGUAGUCCACGCAGUAAACGAUGAAUGCUGGUUGUCCGGGUCGAAUGAGACCUGG
rnacentral:rRNA from 1 species